rnacentral:tRNA from 1 species
GCCCCUCGUAGCUCAACGCCAGAGCAGCUACCUCGUCUGUAGCAGAUCCAGGUUCAAUUCCUCGGCAGGGGCACCA